UACGUAGGGGGCAAGCGUUGUUCGGAAUUACUGGGCGUAAAGGGCGCGUAGGCGGCACGGCAAGUCAGGAGUGAAAGCCCUGGGCUCAACCCGGGAACUGCUUUUGAAACUGCCGAGCUAGAGUGCGGAAGGGGCAACUGGAAUUCCCAGUGUAGCGGUGAAAUGCGUAGAUAUUGGGAAGAACACCUGAGGCGAAGGCGGGUUGCUGGGCCGACACUGACGCUGAGGAGCGAAAGUGUGGGGAGCGAACAGG
rnacentral:rRNA from 1 species